GCAAUGGUGGUUCAGCGGUACAAUUCUCUCCUUCCAUGCAGGAGACCUGGGUUGGAUUCCUGGCCAAUGCA
rnacentral:tRNA from 1 species